rnacentral:rRNA from 1 species
UACAGAGGGUGCGAGCGUUGUCCGGAAUCACUGGGCGUAAAGGGCGCGUAGGCGGUCGGGUAAGCGUGCGGUGAAAGCCCGGGGCUCAACCCCGGGUCGGCCGUGCGGACUGCCCGACUGGAGCACUGUAGAGGCGGGUGGAAUUCCGGGUGUAGCGGUGGAAUGCGUAGAGAUCCGGAAGAACACCGGUGGCGAAGGCGGCCCGCUGGGCAGUGGCUGACGCUGAGGCGCGACAGCGUGGGGAGCAAACAGG